rnacentral:tRNA from 1 species
GUUUUUAUAAUUUAAAAAAAAUAUUAGUCUUGUAAACUAAAAUUAAGAACGACUUUAAAAACA